UUUCCGUAGGUGAACCUGCGGAAGGAUCAUUAUUGAAAUAAACCUGAUGGGUUGCUGCUGACUCUCUCGGGAGCAUGUGCACACUUGUCAUCUUUAUAUCUCCACCUGUGCACCUUUUGUAGAUCUGGAUAUCUUUCUGAAUGCCUGCAUUCAGGUUUGAGGAUUGACUUGUCUUUCCUUACAUUUCCAGGCCUAUGUUUCUUCAUAUACACCAUGUAUGUUAUAGAAUGUAAUGAAAAGGGCCUUUGUGCCUACAAACUUAUACAACUUUCAGCAACGGAUCUCUUGGCUCUC
rnacentral:misc_RNA from 1 species